rnacentral:rRNA from 1 species
UACGUAGGUCCCGAGCGUUGUCCGGAUUUAUUGGGCGUAAAGCGAGCGCAGGUGGUUUAUUAAGUCUGGUGUAAAAGGCAGUGGCUCAACCAUUGUAUGCAUUGGAAACUGGUAGACUUGAGUGCAGGAGAGGAGAGUGGAAUUCCAUGUGUAACGGUGAAAUGCGUAGAUAUAUGGAGGAACACCGGUGGCGAAAGCGGCUCUCAGGCCUGUAACUGACACUGAGGCUCGAAAGCGUGGGGAGCAAACAGG